AACGAACGCUGGCGGCAUGCCUAACACAUGCAAGUCGAACGAGACCUUCGGGUCUAGUGGCGCACGGGUGCGUAACGCGUGGGAACCUGCCCUUAGGUUCGGAAUAACUCCCCGAAAGGGGUGCUAAUACCGGAUAAUGUCUUCGGACCAAAGAUUUAUCGCCUUUGGAUGGGCCUGCGUUGGAUUAGCUAGUUGGUAGGGUAAAAGCCUACCAAGGCGACGAUCCAUAGCUGGUCUGAGAGGAUGAUCAGCCACACUGGGACGGAGACACGGCCCAGACUCCUACGGGAGGCAGCAGUGGGGAAUAUUGGAAAAUGGGCGAAAGCCUGAUCCAGCAAUGCCGCGUGAGUGAUGAAGGCCUUAGGGUUGUAAAGCUCUUUUACCCGGGAUGAUAAUGACAGUACCGGGAGAAUAAGCUCCGGCUAACUCCGUG
rnacentral:rRNA from 1 species